UACGUAGGGUGCGAGCGUUGUCCGGAAUUAUUGGGCGUAAAGAGCUUGUAGGCGGUCUGUCGCGUCUGCUGUGAAAAUCCGGGGCUCAACCCCGGACUUGCAGUGGGUACGGGGCAGACUAGAGUGUGGUAGGGGAGACUGGAAUUCCUGGUGUAGCGGUGGAAUGCGCAGAUAUCAGGAGGAACACCGAUGGCGAAGGCAGGUCACUGGGCCGCAACUGACGCUGAGGAGCGAAAGCAUGGGGAGCGAACAGG
rnacentral:rRNA from 1 species